UCAUGAGUGUGGAUGGGCGGGGCAAGCCGU
rnacentral:piRNA from 1 species